AUAACAACAUUUGGACCGUCGGUCUACCGAGCAACAUCACCCGCUCGGUGGAAGAUCUUCCAUUUGUCGUUUAAG
rnacentral:pre_miRNA from 1 species